CGACAGAAGAAGCACCGGCUAACUCCGUGCCAGCAGCCGCGGUAAUACGGAGGGUGCGAGCGUUAAUCGGAAGUUACUGGGCGUAAAGACGCAUGCAGGUGGUUUGUUAAGUCAGAUGUGAAAGACCCGGGGCUCAACCUCGGAAUAGCAUUUGUAAACUGGCAGACUAGAGUACUGUAGAGGGGGGUAGGAAUUUCAGGUGUAGCGGUGAAAUGCGUAGAGAUCUGAAGGAAUACCGGUGGCGAAGGCGGCCCCCUCGGACAGAUACUGACACUCAGAUGCGAAAGCGUGGGGAGCAAACAGGAUUAGAUACCCUGGUAG
rnacentral:rRNA from 1 species